rnacentral:lncRNA from 1 species
UAUGAGCCUAUAAUAUAAUUAUUUUAUUUAUUAAGUUAAAUUUAUAUGAGAAAAAUCCGAUAAACUUUACCUUGUUGAGUAUGAGGAAAGGAAAACUUUUGAAAUCACCGUAGAGAACAUCACUAGCAGAGAGAACAGGAACUAAAUUUAGGAUACUGAGCUGGUAGGUCGAUUGUGGCAGUGUGGUGGUGGAUUUUGGGUUUGGUACCAGCUAGAUUCGACUACCCUAUUCCAUUUAAGCAACCCCAGCACAAACUAAAUGCCAUAUGUGCUACGGAGCAUUCAGAUUGUCUAUGUGCUGUACCAAUAGAUGCUGGGGCGCAGACUUGAGCUGAGGUCGAGUAAUAUAUAGCAGGACUGACUCACCUGGAGAUCCCGCCCGCCCCGUCUAGGACAGGUGUCCACAGGGGUACAGGUAUGACCCGCUUUUGGAUAUAAAAACUGGAAUUUGCCCGAAAAUCCGGGGCUUUGAUAUCCGGCGGUCAGAAGAUCUACGGAGCUCGGAGUGGACUCGGUACUCCUAUCCGGGAUCUGGUUGUUAUUAUUACUCCCGGUAGGGUUUAAGUGUUACUACACCACCUCGAGCUCGGGGAUGAACCUCGGAGAAACCUCUAGCAGCUCCAAGCACGAGGGAAAACACGCGGCAAUUUAACAGGAGCGCAAGGACGACUUUGUCUGACCACUCGAGCUCUAGAGCCGGCGAUAAGCAAUCCGCGGGAAAUAACCAGGAGACCAGAGUUUAGGAGUUCGCUGUGUUAUUUCCGAGAAAAGCCAAAGUUUUGCGCAGACUCUGCUGCUUUGAUGGUAUUGGAGUACGUCGAUGUCUAGAAUAUUUCAAUUUAUCUUUCGUAAAGGAGAAGAAAAAGAA